GAUGAACGCUGGCGGCGUGCCUAAUACAUGCAAGUCGAGCGAACAGACGAGGAGCUUGCUCCUCUGACGUUAGCGGCGGACGGGUGAGUAACACGUGGAUAACCUACCUAUAAGACUGGGAUAACUUCGGGAAACCGGAGCUAAUACCGGAUAAUAUUUUGAACCGCAUGGUUCAAUAGUGAAAGACGGUUUUGCUGUCACUUAUAGAUGGAUCCGCGCCGCAUUAGCUAGUUGGUAAGGUAACGGCUUACCAAGGCAACGAUGCUUAGCCGACCUGAGAGGGUGAUCGGCCACACUGGAACUGAGACACGGUCCAGACUCCUACGGGAGGCAGCAGUAGGGAAUCUUCCGCAAUGGGCGAAAGCCUGACGGAGCAACGCCGCGUGAGUGAUGAAGGUCUUCGGAUCGUAAAACUCUGUUAUUAGGGAAGAACAAAUGUGUAAGUAACUAUGCACGUCUUGACGGUACCUAAUCAGAAAGCCACGGCUAACUACGUG
rnacentral:rRNA from 1 species